UUUUAAGGUCUUAUUAUUUUUUAUUUGUUAGUGGGGUUUUAUUAGAAGAAUUUUAAUUUUUAUUAAUUUUGGCUGAAAAAAUUGUUUUUAUAAUAGUUUAGAGUAUUGUGAGAGAAUUUCUUUAGAAUUUAAAAAGAAGGUUUAUUUUACUGUACCUUGUGUAUCAGGGUUUAUUAAAUUAUAAGUUAGUUUUGAUUUUUCCCGAAUUUAAAAGAGCUAUAAUAAUAUUUAUUUUACUGUGGAAUAAGUAUUUAUAAUUUUAUUAUAGUAAUGAAACGUUAUUCGUUUUUGAAUAUAUCUGGUUUUUUAAGAAAUAUAUUUAAUUUAAUCUUUAAGUAUGAUUAUAGCUAAUUUUUUAGCUUGGUUUUUUUAUUGGUUAAUAUUUAGGGGGAUAAGCUUCUAAGUAAAUUGUUAAAAGUUUUUUUUGUUUAAUUGAUUUGUAGGAUUAGAAUUUUCCACCAAUUUAAGGAUGUUUUAAUUUAUCUUUUUUUUAUUUGAUUUUUAUUUAUUUUAACUUUUUUAUUAAGAUUUUUACUUUAAUUUUUGAUGUAAAGGAAUUAUGAUGGAAUUAGUAUAAUUUUAUGUAUGUUUAUUUUAUUUUUGUUAGGUUAUUUUAAGGAAUUCGGCAAAUUAAUCUUCACCUGUUUAAUAAAAACAUGUCCUUUUGAUAAAUUAUUUAAGGUCAGGCCUGCCCAAUGAUUAUUUAAAUGGCCGCAGUAUUUUGACUGUGCAAAGGUAGCAUAAUCAUUAGUUUCUUAAUUAGAAGCUGGAAUGAAUGGUUCGAUGAGGGAUUAGCUGUCUUAAUUUUAAUGUUAUUGAAUUUUAUUUUUGAGUGAGAAAGCUUAAAUUUUGUAGAAAGACGAGAAGACCCUAUAGAGUUUAAUAUUUUGUUAAUAAAGUAUUUGAUGUUUUUUAUUAUAUUUUAUUAUUAAGAGUAUUUUGUUGGGGUGAUGUAAAAAUUUAAAGAACUUUUUAUUAUUUAAACACUAAUGAGUGGUUGUUUGAUCCUAUUUUUUAGAUUAUAAGAUAAAAUUACCUUAGGGAUAACAGCGUAAUUUCUUUUAAAAGUUCUUAUUGAUAAAGAAGUUUGCGACCUCGAUGUUGGAUUAAAAUUUAUUUUUGGUGUAGCAGCUAAAAUAUUAGGUCUGUUCGACCUUUGAAAUUUUACAUGAUCUGAGUUUAAACCGGCGUGAGCCAGGUUGGUUUCUAUCUUUUAUUUAAUAGAAUAUUUUAGUACGAAAGGACCAAUUAUUCAAAUUAUAUUUUUGUUUUUGAUUAUUAU
rnacentral:rRNA from 1 species